CCUGGCCCAAGCUGGCAUACUAAGAGUUUUCCUGGAACUUGGGAACUGGGACAAAGAGGGACUAAGCCAGCAAGACCGAAAAGCAUGGCAGUCCCAGGACAGCCAUGAAAACCAUAUGUGAAUUAAUGAGUGAGCAGAUUGGAGCAGCAUUGUUUUGGACCCUAAGGACGUCACGUACAAAAUGCACUUAAAUCCUUGCCUCCUGGAGCUGAUGAUAAAGAAGAUGGACAAGUAAAACAUAUGGAAUGUGAAAUGGUGAUAAGAGUGAUGGAGAAAAUAAAACAGGAGAGGAGGUUGGAAUUGCCAGGUUACGACACAGCAAGAAGGCCCUCGCCAGAUGCAUCUCCUCCAUGUUGGACUUCCCAGCCUCCAGAUCCCUGAGCCAGAUAAAUUUC
rnacentral:lncRNA from 1 species